rnacentral:tRNA from 1 species
GCCUCUUUAGCUCAGUUGGUAGAGCGGUUCACUCGUAAUGAACAGGUCGCCGGUUCGAGCCCGGUGAGAGGCU